AUGCAGCUCUCCCUCCUCCCAGAUCCAGCCGUCGAACCCAACCCCUUGGGCCACCGGAUCCUGGGGUCACCGGUCGACCACGGCACCGUCACUGCCCAUCCAAGCCUGUGUCGGGAGCCAGGCUCCUCCCCUCAGCGUCGGCGCGGCUCACGGCCCGCAUCCUCCACUGCCCUUGAACACACCGCUCCGGCCUUCUUCCACAGAGACGGUGGCAGCUCUGCCUUCCACCAGCUGGCCAGGACUCCUCCAGUUCAUCGCGGCCAUACAUUCCACCGCCAUCCUCCUCCAUCAACGCCUACAUCCUCACCAGUGGCACAUCCUUCCUCCCCGCAGCCUAAAGCAAUUCCCUUUCGUCGUCGUUCUCGUAUCACGACCAACCACCGCCUCCCCAUCCCUCCGGCCUCGACCUGCAGCUAG
rnacentral:rRNA from 1 species